rnacentral:rRNA from 1 species
UUAAGUGACUAAGCGUACAAGGUGGAUGCCUUGGCAAUCAGAGGCGAGGAAGGACGUGCUAAUCUGCGAAAAGCUUGGAUGAGUCGAUAAGAGGCGUUUAAUCCAAGAUGUCCGAAUGGGGAAACCCAGUAGAUGAAGAAUCUACUAUCACUUACUGAAUUCAUAGGUAAGUGAGGCGAACCGGGAGAACUGAAACAUCUAAGUACCCCGAGGAAAAGAAAUCAACCGAGAUUUCGUUAGUAGCGGCGAGCGAACGCGAAGGAGCCUGUUAGUGAUAAUGACAGAGACAGAGGAACAAGCUGGGAAGCUUGGCGAUACAGGGUGAUAGCCCCGUACUCGAAGUCCAGGUCAUGGUACUAAGCUAACGACAAGUAGGGCGGGACACGUGAUAUCCUGUUUGAAGAUGGGGGGACCAUCCUCCAAGGCUAAAUACUCCUGAUUGACCGAUAGUGAACCAGUACUGUGAAGGAAAGGCGAAAAGAACCCCGGUGAGGGGAGUGAAAUAGAACCUGAAACCUUGUACGUACAAGCAGUGGGAGCCCUUUUGGGGUGACUGCGUACCUUUUGUAUAAUGGGUCAGCGACUUAUAUUUUGUAGCGAGGUUAACCGAAUAGGGGAGCCGAAGGGAAACCGAGUCUUAACUGGGCGUCUAGUUGCAAGGUAUAGACCCGAAACCCGGUGAUCUAGCCAUGGGCAGGUUGAAGGUUGGGUAACACUAACUGGAGGACCGAACCGACUAAUGUUGAAAAAUUAGCGGAUGACUUGUGGCUGGGGGUGAAAGGCCAAUCAAACCGGGAGAUAGCUGGUUCUCCCCGAAAUCUAUUUAGGUAGAGCCUUGAGCGGACACCUUCGGGGGUAGAGCACUGUUUCGGCUAGGGGUCCAUCCCGGAUUACCAACCCGAUGCAAACUACGAAUACCGAAGAGUGAUACUCAGGAGACACACGGCGGGUGCUAACGUCCGUCGUGGAGAGGGAAACAACCCAGACCGCCAGCUAAGGUCCCAAAGUCUAUAUUAAGUGGGAAACGAAGUGGGAAGGCUUAGACAGCUAGGAUGUUGGCUUAGAAGCAGCCAUCAUUUAAAGAAAGCGUAAUAGCUCACUAGUCGAGUCGGCCUGCGCGGAAGAUGUAACGGGGCUCAAAUAUAGCACCGAAGCUGCGGCAUCAGACGAAAGUCUGUUGGGUAGGGGAGCGUUCUGUAAGCGGAUGAAGGUGGCUCGAGAGGGUUGCUGGACGUAUCAGAAGUGCGAAUGCUGACAUAAGUAACGAUAAAACGGGUGAAAAACCCGUUCGCCGGAAGACCAAGGGUUCCUGUCCAACGUUAAUCGGGGCAGGGUGAGUCGGCCCCUAAGGCGAGGCUGAAAAGCGUAGUCGAUGGGAAACGGGUUAAUAUUCCCGUACUUGGAUAAACUGCGAUGUGGGGACGGAGCAGGUUAGGUUAUCGCACUGUUGGAUAUGUGCGUUUAAGUUGGUAGGUGUGAAGUUUAGGCAAAUCCGGACUUCUUUAACACCGAGAGAUGAUGACGAGGCUCUACGGAGCUGAAGUAACCGAUACCACACUUCCAGGAAAAGCCACUAAGCUUCAGGUUUAUCUAAACCGUACUGAAAACCGACACAGGUGGUCAGGUAGAGAAUACUCAGGCGCUUGAGAGAACUCGGGUGAAGGAACUAGGCAAAAUAGCACCGUAACUUCGGGAGAAGGUGCGCCGGCGUAGAUUGUAGUCCCUUGCGGAUGAAGGUUGAACCGGUCGAAGAUACCAGCUGGCUGCAACUGUUUAUUAAAAACACAGCACUCUGCAAACACGAAAGUGGACGUAUAGGGUGUGACGCCUGCCCGGUGCUGGAAGGUUAAUUGAAGAUGUGAGAGCAUCGGAUCGAAGCCCCAGUAAACGGCGGCCGUAACUAUAACGGUCCUAAGGUAGCGAAAUUCCUUGUCGGGUAAGUUCCGACCUGCACGAAUGGC